CCCCUAGAUGUUCUGGGCCGCACGCGCGCUACACUGAACAGUUCAACAAGUCUUAACCUUGGCCGAUAGGUCUGGGUAAUCUUUGAACGCUGUUCGUGAUUGGGAUAGACCUGUGCAAUUAUGGGUCUUCAACGAGGAAUUCCUAGUAAACGCAAGUCAUCAGCUUGCAUUGAUUACGUCCCUGCCCUUUGUACACACCGCCCGUCGCACCUACCGAUUGAAUGGUCCGGUGAAAUCUCGGGACGGCGGCUUGGUCGCUUGCGUCCGACUGCUGAAACUUGAUUAAACCAUAUCAUUUAGAGGAAGGUGAAGUCGUAACA
rnacentral:rRNA from 1 species